UACGUAGGGUGCGAGCGUAAUCGGAAUUACUGGGCGUAAAGCGCACGUAGGCGGCUUUCUAAGUCGGGGGUGAAAUCCUGGAGCUCAACUCCAGAACUGCCUUCGAUACUGGAGAGCUCGAGUCCGGGAGAGGUGAGUGGGAACUGCGAGUGUAGAGGUGAAAUUCGUAGAUAUUCGGAGGAACACCAGUGGCGAAGGCGGCUCACUGGUCCGGUACUGACGCUGAGGUGCGAAAGCGUGGGGAGCAAACAGG
rnacentral:rRNA from 1 species